AAAGAGAAGUGCGCCCUCCGCAGGUGUGCGCCGCCGUGACCUGGGCGGUCCUGGGGGCGCGUGGGUGGGUGUGUGCACUAGUGUGUAUGUGCUGCGUGUGUGUGGGCCCUGGUGGGGUGAGUCUCUGAGGCCUGGCUUGGCCUGCCCCCACCGCCCCGGGGGCCGGAGCAAAUACACCAAGGGUGUCCUCUGGGGUGGGGGCAGUCUUCCCUGCACCCUCGGGGAGUGACCCGGGCCUUGAUUUCCCCCGCCGUCUCCUUCCUCGGGGCAGACCUGGGCGGCAGGGGGACGGCGCGGGCAGGACUGGACAUGCUGCCGCGGCAGGAUGGACUUGCAAGCGCGUCUCCUGGUGACUCCUGCUGCCCCCCACGCCCUGCCCCGGGGCCCGGGGAGGAGGGAGCCCCUGAACUGACCGGUCGCAUGGCCUGGGACAGUUCACUUGAGCUCCUGAGCUCCUGAAAGGGAAAACUAAUGGUCCCUGGGGUCCUGCCGGGCCCUAGACUGUAAACGCUAGGGCAUGGCUGUGAGCCUCCCCUCGCAGCCCCCCAGACGCCCUGGGGCACCCGCUGCAGCGGGAGUAGAUACCCAGGCCUCCAGGCAGCGCCUUCACCACCAGCUUCAGCUGGGCGAUCUCCAGGGCCUCCCACAGCGUGCUGUCCGAGCACUUCUUCUCCGGGUCCAGGUUAAACCUGGAGGGGGACAGGAAACCCGCUCAGGGAGAAAAGCAGGGCCUGGCAGGGGGAGCAGUGAGUAAGAACAUGGCCUGGGGAGGGGUGGGUGCUGGCUGGAAGGGGGCGGCAGGUGGCAAUGGGUGGAGGACGCAUGCCCAGCCCGAGGGUGGUGCUACCUCCACCAGCGCCUGCCUGGGCCUCACAGGGAAGAGAAAGGCCCAAAGGCAGCACCGUGAGGGAGCAGGUCAGCCCCAGGGCUGCCCACCCAGGGAGGGGUACCCAGCUGGGCACUCUUGGCCUCACCCAGCCGCUCCUCCUUACACCCCAGCUCCAAGGGGCUGGGCCUGGGACCCAGGGGGGUGCCUGCCAGAGUGGUGGGGCUCACCGGAUGGUGCCGCUGAAGAGGACGGGGUCCUGCAGGAUGAUAGAGAGGCGGGAGCGCAGGGUAUGCAGUGGCAGUUUGGCGAUGUCGAUGCCGUCAAUGAUGAUGCGCCCUGUGUGGAGACCGUGUCCCAGGCGAGAGAGAAGGAAGACUUCCCACUGCCUGUGCGGCCGCAGAUCCCAAUCUGGAGAGAGGAGGAAGCACACUCUUUUUGGCCAGGGCUGCUUUCUGCAGAGGAGCCUCCGACGGGGACCCGCAAGCAAGUGCAGGGUACAGAUGUCCAUUUUCCUGGGCCUGGGUGUAGGUCUUGCUGUGCCUGGUAUGUGGCUGCAGGGGAGGUGGGGGCACUGGUGCAUACUCUGUGUGCACGGGUGUGAUGGAGGGCCUGGGAGUGGCUCAGUGCGGUUGGCAGGGAUGGAUCUGUGAGCCCCAUCUUAAACUGGAGUCAUCUCUGACACCAUUGCUUCCCGGCCCACAGGUGCCAACAGAAAUGACAAUCAGGACUAGUAUAGAGAUGGUGACACAGAAGGACAAGAGAGGUGGGGACAGAUGGGAGGAGCCCGAGGCAGGGACAGAGGUACAUCUAAAGGUCAGAGAUAGUGAGGCAGACAGCCACAAAGACAGAGGGGCAGUGGGGAUCCCUGGGUGGCUCAGCGGUUUAGUGCCUGCCUUUGGCCCAGGGCGUGAUCCUGGAGUUCCAGGAUCGAGUCCCACAUCAGGCUCCCGGCAUGGAGCCUGCUUCUCCCUCU